UGGGGAAUAUUGGACAAUGGGGGCAACCCUGAUCCAGCCAUGCCGCGUGUGUGAAGAAGGCCUUCGGGUUGUAAAGCACUUUUGUUGGGGAAGAAAAGCACUGGGCUAAUACCUUGGUGUCAUGACGGUACCCAAAGAAUAAGCACCGGCUAACUUCGUGCCAGCAGCCGCGGUAAUACGAAGGGUGCAAGCGUUACUCGGAAUUACUGGGCGUAAAGCGUGCGUAGGCGGUUUGUUAAGUCUGUCGUGAAAGCCCCGGGCUCAACCUGGGAAUGGCGAUGGAUACUGGCUCGCUAGAGUGCGGUAGAGGAGAGUGGAAUUCCCGGUGUAGCAGUGAAAUGCGUAGAGAUCGGGAGGAACAUCAGUUGCGAAGGCGGCUCUCUGGACCAGCACUGACACUGAGGCACGAAAGCGUGGGGAGCAAACA
rnacentral:rRNA from 1 species